rnacentral:rRNA from 1 species
CACCGCGGUUAUACGAGAGGCUCAAGUUGAUAGACAUCGGCGUAAAGAGUGGUUAGGAAGUCUUUUAAACUAAAGCCGAAUACCCUCAGAACUGUUAUACGUACCCGAGGGAAAGAAGCCCCACUACGAAAGUGGCUUUAUAUCUCCGACCCCACGAAAGCUGCGAAA